AGCAACUCGCACUGACUUCUCCACUGCGGCAGCGCGGCGCACAGUGGGCCAAACUGGCAGUAUAUCCGUCAAAUUAUUAUAAGGAAAUGCCGGGUAGCACGAGUAUUCGCUUCGUGGAACUCUUACGCCCGAUCGCCAGUUGGAAGCCCCUCGACUUGAAGAAAAGCAAAUGCCGCAAAGCAGUUGCAUUUAAAGGCAUAAUCCUCUUAGGUAUGAAGACUGCACGGGGAUCGUUCUUGUUGGUUAAAUACUAAGAUGACAUAAAAAAACCAAUGGUAUAACCAUGACUAAUAAUUGUCAUCUAUUAAAUAUAAGUGUAAAAAGACAGAGAUAUAUAACCUACAAUAAUGAUGUAACCCAUAAUAAAGCACUUAGACCACACUUACCACCUGAUAAACAAUAACCCUUCGCUCAAUUCACACUUCCCAGUGAUUAUCGCCAGCUAUCAACAGGCAUUUAAUCAAAUACCCUCAAAAAUGAUGCCUCAUUAAUAAUAUGGCUCUUUAUAAGCCCCAGUAAUUUGUUCAAAAUGAAGCAGAACCAUUUCCCUUUCCAGAAAAAAAAA